GCGAAGCCGCGCCUUGCCGCGCUUCUCUGGCUGUAUUUAAGAACACACGACUUACUGAGUGUGUUCCAGCGAUUUCGUCGUAUGCCCGCUGGCACUCUGCGAGGUAAGUCGAAGCACACUCGCGUUCCAGAGAGCACUGCUUGGGGAUCAUAUCGCACCCUCUACUCAGCCCAUAGCUCGGCGCGAUCAUGAUCGCGGCAGUUUUACCAGUGCUUCGUGAUCCGCACUCAUGAUCGCGGUCAUAUAGCUUGGAGAAGGCAUUGCAAUCAUGGUCGCGCCGACCACGAACCGAGCUAGCAGCCUGUCAUAUUGCGGUGAUCGAACUCUGACAACGACGGACAGGGAGCGAUUUCUGACCCGUACAUGAGCUGCGUAAUUAUGGUGGAGCCUCGGAUAUUGUGAUGUGCUCGACGGGAGGACUGCUUAACUUGUGUGCCGCAAAUCGCAUGGGUGAACUUGUUGAAAACAGACACU